AUUGAACGCUGGCGGAAUGCUUUACACAUGCAAGUCGAACGGUAGAGGGGGCAACCCCUCGAGAGUGGCGAACGGGUGAGUAAUAUAUCGGAACGUGCCCAGUCGUGGGGGAUAACGUAGCGAAAGUUACGCUAAUACCGCAUACGAUCUACGGAUGAAAGCGGGGGAUCGCAAGACCUCGCGCGAUUGGAGCGGCCGAUAUCAGAUUAGGUAGUUGGUGGGGUAAAGGCUCACCAAGCCAACGAUCUGUAGCUGGUCUGAGAGGACGACCAGCCACACUGGAACUGAGACACGGUCCAGACUCCUACGGGAGGCAGCAGUGGGGAAUUUUGGACAAUGGACGCAAGUCUGAUCCAGCCAUUCCGCGUGCAGGAUGAAGGCCCUCGGGUUGUAAACUGCUUUGUACGGAACGAAAAGGUUUCUAUUAAUACUAGGAGCUCAUGACGGUACCGUAAGAAUAAGCACCGGCUAACUACGUG
rnacentral:rRNA from 1 species